GACGAACGCUGGCGGCGUGCUUAACACAUGCAAGUCGAACGGUAAGGCCCUUCGGGGUACACGAGUGGCGAACGGGUGAGUAACACGUGGGUGAUCUGCCCUGCACUUCGGGAUAAGCCUGGGAAACUGGGUCUAAUACCGGAUAGGACUCCUGGCUUCAUGGUUGGGGGUGUAAAGCUUUUGCGGUGUGGGAUGGGCCCGCGGCCUAUCAGCUUGUUGGUGGGGUAAUGGCCUACCAAGGCGACGACGGGUAGCCGGCCUGAGAGGGUGACCGGCCACACUGGGACUGAGAUACGGCCCCAGGACUCCUACGGGAGGCAGCAGUGGGAAUAUUGCACAAUGGGCGCAAGCCUGAUGCAGCGACGCCGCGUGAGGGAUGACGGCCUGGUUGUAACCUCUUUCAAUAGGGACGAAGCGCGAAGUGACGGUACCGUAUA
rnacentral:rRNA from 1 species